CAAAAAGACUCUCGGCAACGGAUAUCUCGGCUCUUGCAUCGAUGAAGAACGUAGCGAAAUGCGAUACGUGGUGUGAAUUGCAGAAUCCCGUGAACCAUCGAGUUUUUGAACGCAAGUUGCGCCCAAAGCCUUUUGGUUGAGGGCACGUCUGCCUGGG
rnacentral:rRNA from 1 species